AGCAGUCGCACGGUAAUACGGAGGGUGCAAGCGUUAAUCGGAAUUACUGGGCGUAAAGCGCACGCAGGCGGUCUGACAAGUCAGAUGUGAAAUCCCCGGGCUUAACCUGGGAACUGCAUUUGAAACUGUCAGGCUGGAGUCUUGUAGAGGGGGGUGGAAUUCCAGGUGUAGCGGUGAAAUGCGUAGAGAUCUGGAGGAAUACCGGUGGCGAAGGCGGCCCCCUGGACAAAGACUGACGCUCAGGUGCGAAAGCGUGGGGAGCAAACAGGAUUAGAUACCCCUGUAGUCCCUGUCUCUUAUACA
rnacentral:rRNA from 1 species